UUCAUUCUGUGUCGCUGUGGGAGAGGCACAAAGUUAGCAGUGGAUGUUUGAAUCUCGUUUCUUUUACUUGAUGCCAUCAUAACGGCGUUUUGUAUAUCGCUUGGUAGCAGUUUCGAACGAACCGGUUUUAAACGUUGAAUUGAAGCCAUAAAUCCUUCCUUUGCUCUUGGCGAAGCCCCUCAGGUGUUUUGUUUUUCCAGCGGUCAGAAGACGCGCUAAAGUUUGCCAUUCGGCGUAACGUUUGAGACAUUCGAUGCAAACUCUUGCCUCAUUUGAACUAUAUUAGUUCCGCUUUCCGCUUGUUUGUAUAUAAACACUUCAUUGCCUAUUCAGAAGGACAUACGGGCCAGUGCAUCAGGUCCAGGAUGGAACAUGAAGCAGAGAAGUACCAGCAGCGACUGAAAGCUAUAGAGAUCCUGGGCAAGUUCUACGGGAGUGCUAGAGGGAACGAAAUGAAAGCAAGAGAAGG